UUGCAUAAAUUAAUGUGGCCAUUCUACAAUGCUCUAUGAGAGUCCACCGCUUACCAUUAGUCCAAUUUUCUAGGCUCCUCUAAUUGCACCAAGAGAGGCCAUUUUCAGCCAAACAUCUGUCCCUUCCAAAUUUAUGGUUCAAAACUUUGGUAGACCAGACAACCGGAAAUUAUACCUUUUAAAUCAAUUGUUGUGUUGUAAUGCUUAAACAAAUUAUUUGACCCAUGGAAAUUAUGACUAUUUAUGUUUUCUAAGUUGGUGUUUAGCUUUGCUUGAAGCUUCAAGAAAAGUUAAUUUCAGAGAUCUCUUAAGACAAGGCUUGCAUCUAGAAGGUUUAAUAAGUGGACAUAUAUACUCAAUGCUUACUCAAAUUUGCGUAUAAAAAAGCUUAUGAAUUUUAAGGAGAAAGAUGGCUUUUCAUUUUGAUUGGUGAUGAACUGGACUAAUUAUACCACUCACCAGUGGCAUGGAAUCUUUGAGUUAAGGUGAAAAGGGUUGCAUUGGUGAGCUUCUUUUGUAUUUCUCUUGCCUUUCGAAGGGCACGAGACUGAGGAUGUAUACUUUUAUAAUGCUUGGCCUACAUGAGAUGGAGUUUCUACUAAUGAACAAUUAGAUGCUUGCAGUGCACACAAGAUUGAGAUAGGGCUGAUGAAUAACAUUAUAUGUAAUAACAUUAUAACCUUAGUUCACCAAGUUCAAGGU